CGCGGUGAUGGCGGCUCGGCCCGGACGGGAAGGGACGGGAGAGAGGCUUCGCUUCACAAACCCCGCUGGGAUGGCCGGUCCUGGUGUCCCCGCAGGACUCUAGGGAGCAGCAAGACAGGCUGGUGGGAAUGAGCAGAAUAAUCCCGAGGUGGUAGAUGAGAUGUAUCAGAAGCUCCAGAGCUUUGUAGCUACUGGAGCCGCAGGAUGUCUCGUCUGGCAGGAGGUGCGGGCCUACAGUGCAAUAAAAGCUCGGAGCAGCGCCGAAGAAGCGGUGGGAGUGGGACAGCAGCAACCUGUCUACCAGCAGGGCAGGGAGAGCUCAAGAUCCUGGGCACCCAAGCAGACCAGACAGGGAUAAAUCCCUCUUUUAGUGAGGUAGCUGUUAAUAAGGUCCCAGUCUAAAGGCCACAGAAAGGAAGAGGCAGUACAGGACUGGGCUCUGCUGAUGACUGUGAAUUCUCACCACGGUGAGCAGCAAUUUGCCUGACGUCCUCCUAUGCCCAGAGUGAGAGGAGACUAGCCUCUGGCCCCUGCCCAUUCCUCACAGUGUGUCUCCCUCUUGGAGAGGAAUUCCCAAAAAGAGAAGUGUAUCCAGAUGCCGUCCUCCCUCCUGAACUUGGCUACCUCUUUGUUUUCUUAAGUACCCGAUAACCACCUGCUGAAACCCUAAAGACCUGUUAGUAGGUCAGUGGGAUGGGUCAAGAGAUGGGUUAUGCCUACGAACUCCUCCUCUGCCAUUUCCUGAUUGCAUUCGUUUUAAUCCUGUGAACAGAAUGUCCAGGCUGAACAAAUCCCCACUCUUGAUAAUGCAUCAAGAAAUUGACAAAGACGCAGGUUGUCAAAGACAUAUGACUUGGGCUAGAAUCUUUGUGAAUUCCACAAGGUUCAAACUUAGUCUUGCAUAUGAAAGGUUGUAGUUGCCGAGGAACUACAUCUGUCUACACAAUAGAGCAUUCACAAACUAUUGAAGAAUACUUUUUGUAUUAUCAUCUAACAAAAAACUCUACAUACUUUUCUGUUUACUGCCAAGAAAAGACAAAGAGCUCUGUACUGGUUUUGUAUUACUGAUAUUUGGUGAGGAGGGAAGAAGCCACCCAUGGACGUGAUCUUUCUGGGAGAGGCUUCUGUGAGCUUCCUCUGUGCCUGGGAAGGACCAGAGACCUGCUGGCUCUGAGAAUCGGCAACCUAUUAAACCACUUAGAAGCUAGAUCCGCUUCUGUGAAUUCUACAUUUUAAAGAUGGGCAAGCCCAGGAAAUCUCUCUCUCUUGCUUCCGGUCUUGAAAGGUAACUGGGCUCUGGUUGGGUUCUGCCAUGGUGCAUGCGGUCUGGUGGGGCUGGGCUGGACCCCAGCAGUGGCUGGGCAGGGGAUGGGAGGUCACAGGGCCCCGGCUGCUGACAUCUUGCUGACACCAAGCCCUGUCCCACUGCUGCUGACCCAUGCUGAGCUGGGGUCCCCUGGGCCCUGGGACCGGCUCCAGACUGGGCCAGGCCCCCUCCACUGCAGCCCCAGCGGCUGCUGGGCAGAGAGAGGGCCCCAGUGCAGCCUGAAAUCCAUCACCGUGACUGCUUCAGCCACUGCCCAGCAGAAACCAUCAUGACCAUCUGCAGGCCUGGGUGAGAUAUUAAACUUUUCACUGCACAGAGGAGACCUGCAGACUUUGAUCGUCCCUCAGGUGAGAGAAAAGGACAGAGUGAUGACAAGUGGAAGACAACAUGAAGACACCAAGGUCAGUAAAGAAGGAAUCAAGUCCCAGAUAGAAGAAGAAUGAGGAGAUGCCCAAGUAUUGGCAUCCAUGGCAUCCAUGGAGAUGGACUGUGAUACACUGGAAUAUCCUCUUUAAUUCACGAUAAAGUAUGGGGGAAUGGAAUAUUCAAACUAGAUGUGAGCAGAGGCAUCCAUAGUGAAGCAAAGCAGAUGUUGAAGUAGCUUUGGUCCCAUGAGAAGCUUGAACAGAGAGAGAGAUGAGAGUGAUGAAGGGCCUUUGCCCCCAGGGAAAGAAGAAGACGUCUGUUUCUAGAGAUGAAGAUGAUCUCAUAGAUAAAUGAAGAGAACCUUUGCUUUUGAACAACUUGUCUGUAAAAUAAUACCUUGUAAGUUUACAUGGCCCGUUAGCUCAGCAGUGGGAAGGCUGUGAAAAUGGGAGGAGUUUCACAAUUGCAGAUUUUUUUCCCAGGCAGCUGCUUUCCAUGGAAAUUAAAAGCCAUGAGAGAACUGUUUCUUGUGGAGAAGUGUCAAUAACAUGGCCUGGUGAGAGAAAACUCCUCUCCCCACUAGAACUGAUGAAAGAUUGUUGUAGAGGUGGUAACUACUUGAAAAAUCCCAGGUUUUGUCUCUAUGCUGUCAGUUGGGAAAGAAAAUAAGUUGGGUAGGGGGAUGAAAAGUAAAUCUGAAAGGUUUAUUCUAAUUCU